rnacentral:rRNA from 1 species
GUGACAGCAGCCGCGGUAAUACGGAGGGUGCAAACGUUGCUCGGAAUUAUCGGGCGUAAAGCGCACGUAGGCGGUUCGCUAUGUCGGAUGUGAAAGCCCUCGGCUUAACCGAGGAAGGGCAUCCGAAACUGGCGGGCUUGAGUACGGAAGAGGGUCUCGGAAUUCCCGGUGUAGAGGUGAAAUUCGUAGAUAUCGGGAGGAACACCAGUGUCGAAGGCGGAGACCUGGGCCGAUACUGACGCUGAGGUGCGAAAGCGUGGGGAGCAAACAGGAUUAGAAACCCCCGUAGUCC